rnacentral:tRNA from 1 species
GCCUGGGUGGUUUAGUUGGUUAAGUGUCUGACUUUGGCUCAGGUCAUGAUCUCACGGUUUGUGGGUUUGAGCCCCGCAUUGGGCU